UAUAGCUUGAAACUCUCCUUAUUGAUCUGGUUUUGCAAAUAUCCAGUUGUUAGUCUAGAACUAGUGUCAAGUGAUUGCACAUGUAUUAAAAUACCUCUAAGCAUUAUAAGCUAAAAUCUACAAAAAAAAUCUCUAUUUUGAAUGGAUAAUUUCUUAAACGAUGUUAAAUCAUGUAUAUUUUAAUUUUAUAAUCAAACAGAGACACCUGUUACAUGGGGAAUUAAUUAUUAUUCCUUUUAAAACUAUAUAUAAGUAGAUAUUCUUCUACACAGACACAGUAACAAUCUGAUCUCUCUUUCUUUUCCCCACAUUUCCCCCUUUUCUAUUCCACAAAACCGCCAUCGUCAUCAUGGCCCGUUCUCAAUGAGCUGUUGGGUACACCUCCCUGACGGAGUGGCGGUGGGGCAGAGGGGCUCCUCACUUCCCAGACGGGGCGGCCGGGCAGAGGUGCCCCCCACCUCCCAGACGGGGCGGUGGCCGGGUGGGGGCUGCCCCCGACCUCCCUCCUGGACGGGGCGGCUGGCCUGGCGGGGGCUGUAUUGUGAACAUUUUUAAGUACGGUCUGAAAUACUCUUUCAGUCAGUCAACAAAUAAGUACUCCUAUGAAGUACAAAGCUAUGAUGGCAAACCUCGUUAAGGUUCUAAGAGAAAGAAACCACUGGGCAUCUCAACUUGAUUAGUUCAUGAGUACAUUCCAGCAUUCCUGAAUUUCUAAUUGCUGUUACCCACAUAAGAAAGCCUCAGUGCUAAACACAGUUAUU
rnacentral:lncRNA from 1 species